CAGGGGCCGCCAGACCUCACAUGGCUGCCUGCCACCUCCUGAGCAAAACACAAUUUCACGACUCUUUGGGGGAUAAAGGAUUUUAUUUACCUCUUUUCAAAAGCUUCAGAAUUCUUCCUGAACAUCAAAUAACUCCUGGCAAACACAUCCCUGAUGAGGAACAUGAAGUGAAACAGAACCAGAUGGGCUGACUCGCUCUGGGCUCUGGGCUCGCACGGGAGGAGGAAGGGCAGAUCUCACUCACAGUGAGGCUGGGCUGUGGGCCACAGGAAGUGCAUCGGGAGGGGGGCACAGCCUUCCAGGCAGGGAGGGGACAAAGUCCCCUGGACCUUGCCGGAGAUGGAGUCACACUGCCUGCCAUCUGGCUUUGUUGGGAAGAGAAAAGACAUGGGACUUCCGGCAGCCUGUCGGUGGCACCCCAGCAGAGUGGAUCUUGCCAAACCUGGCAUCUAAGGCACUGGGGACCCAGAGGACCCUGAGAGUCAGCUGAAACACAGCAUUUCCCAGCCUCUCUUCAAGAGGAGGCACGGCGGCAGGCCUGACCAGUGGCAAGCAGUGUCCCCGGGGACGGCUGUGAGCUUCACCUUGCUCUUCCUCCAGACAUCGCUCCUUUCUUGGCACAUCCUCAACCUCCAGGAGGGAGGCUACCGCUGGAGAUGAGCUGACCAAGGCGGGUGGGACAGGAUGAAGAAGCCUGGAUCCUCCAAGCUCUGUGGAGCCACUGUCUCAGCCUUGAACACCUCUGGCCUUGUGCCUGUCGGUAAGGCUGAACUGCUGUGGGGCUCAGCAGACAGUGCCAUGGUUCUCUGUGGAAUAUAAUCCAGAGUGAUCCUGACACCAGACCAGUGUUCUCAGUCCCAGGUGGGCAGUCCCAGAAAUACAGACUCACAUAUUUGCUACACCUGCGCUAAUCUCGCACACUCCCUAGACUCUCUCUUCUCUCGUAGCUCCCCCAGUUGCCCUAGUGGGUCUCUGGCCCAUCUCCUUCAGGAGGCUCAUACACUUCCACUUCAGCAGAGGCCACCUGGUGUUCGGUCCACCCCCAUGACCUCUCCAGACUCUAGCCUGUCCUUUGAGAGCGGACUGUUAAAAUAUAGGCGACAAUUUUCUAGCUUAUCCGGGGUAUAGGAAUUUCAACCUGGAACUUGCCUAUAUAAAAUGGAGCUUGUGGCAAGCCAGGCUAUGUUAGUCCCACAGGGUAGUAAGAACCACAUGGGAACUCAUAAAGCUUAGCCAUUGAUUUUUUUUUUUUUUUACACAGACCUUAAUGGCAGGAUCUCUUCUAAGACAAACAUUUGAGGUGGAAUCUUUUACAUGUAAGGCAGACGAUGAGGGGCCUCUCCUGGGAAAGCCCUGGAGAUUCCACAAAGCACCGCUGGAAGUCACCAUGACUAGAACGAAAAGACCAAACCAGUCACUCACUUAGCGAGCUGGGCAGAGCUGGGGAGUAGCAAGAGGGUAUGGUUGCUGGGGGUUCCCACCUCCUCCAAACCAAAGACCCCAAAGCUAGACACAAGCCUACCCUCAGAGCUUCCUCUAGCCCAGUGGUUCUCAGCCCUCCUAAUGCUGAGACCCUUUAAAACAGCGUCUCAUGUUGUGGUGACCCCCAACCAUAAAAUUCCUCCAUUGCUACUUCAUAACUGUAAUUUCGCUACUGUAAGGAAGCAUACUAUAAUAACUGUGUUUUCCAACAGUCUCAGGCCCCCUGUAAAAGGGUCAUUUGACACACACCCCCCCCAAGAGGUCACGGCCCACAGUCUGAGAACUGCUACUAGCAUAUCCUUAACUGAGAUUCUACCAGCUGAAGCCCAGGCCAUUGUGUGCCCCCCGCCCCCCAAAGGCUGCAGCCCCAGCUUUACUCUUCUCCAUUGCCUUGUACCUUCCUCUCUAGCCACAGCGAAUGCUUGUCACCAUCCACACAACCUUCUCAGAGACUGACCGGAUGACAAGCCUCUCCCGAAGGAACGCUUCCAAUGACCCAGACUUACAGGACCUUCGAGCCCUUACCUCUAAACUCCGGCCUGACCCUCAGGUUCUCUCCCAAACUUCCAUCUUCCCAUGAACACUCCACCACCCUUCUCUACCCCUACCUCUCCUCCAAGCCCAUGCUUGUGGCCCUGUGUGAUGCUGAGACCAUCUGAAGCUGUCGUAGUUCCGGUCCUCCUUUUCUCUUGGCCCCACCCCUCAGCCCCUCCUCCAAGGUUUUAUCCAUUUUUCCUUCUUUCUGGAGCCUUCCUUGGUCCCUUUACCUACCUCGGCUUCCGGAGGGCAGUCAUAGUGUCUGCAUGCAUUCGGCUUGCAGUAUGCUUGUGGAGUACAUGAAGGAAAGAAGGGAGAGAUCUACCACCUCCAAAUAAGGCAUACAUUCUGUUUACUUGGAUGUAGAGAGGUUGGUUAGUGCACGUGUGUCCUGUUUUGCUAACUACGCUCCCACACUCCUCACUUAACAGUAGCCUGCGUUCCUUCUGGAAUUUGCCUCUUCCCCACUGUGUGUGGUCCUGGUGGAGGGGAACUCUGGGCUUCUGCCUCCCAUUAUGAAAGCCAAAGGGCCAACUCCAACUCCCCAUGUCUCCUGGACCCCACUGGGGAACAGGAACGUGCCUCGACCUUUCUCCUGGGAGCACACAUCUGCUGUGAGUCAUGCAAAAUGUCAGCCAAGCUUCCGGGUUGCCGGCCACAGCGUCCAGCCUGGUCAGUUUGAGACAGGCCGGGAUUUACUCCAUAGCAGGUGAGAAAGAUCACAGGCCUUAUGGGAAGACUGGCAGAUGGGCAGCAGCAAGACAGCCAGGCCACAGCUGGGAUCUUAGCUGAAUAGUCCUCCGGACACCAAUCCAUAUGACUACACACAGGAUGCCACCUUGCUUCCCAUGCUGGGCACAGCACGGCCAUCCUUCCAACUGGUCACUGCUGCUGCGGCUGCUCUAACAUCCUGCCACCUACACAGAAGGACCUUGACAGUGUUCUACGACACUGCCUGCUACUCGUUUCCCAGGUGACAUGUAGCUGACCCAUCUAUCCAUGUGUCUGUGCCCUACCUCAAAGGAUGCUGGGACCUUGCACUACAGAAUCCUACAGAGGGUGCUGGGAUCUACAGCUCCAUCCACAGUGGGAGCGUGACUUAGGCACUUGUCCUCGAGACUUUGCGGCAGGGAACUUCAUCAAGCCUGGAAAGGAGGGAUCCUUGGGUGACAGACAAGCAAGAAUGACAAAAGCCACUGAAUCCAGAGACAGGGAACUAAAGCUGGAGGUCACCAUCUCAAGCUCAGCAGCUUACAGAUCCCAUGUUUCCUGCUGUACGUGGCCGUCACAACUCCUGAUCUAGGUGUUCAGAAAGGCCCAGGCUCCCACCCUCCCGGAGUCUACUCCUCUAGGAUCCUGUCACUUCUCCAAGCUCCCAACAUCCUGCCAAUAAAUUCCUUUUUGCUGAAGUUAACCAGUGUUAGUGUCUGCCGCCUGCAACCCAGCAACGCUAAGCAAAAGCAUAAGUAAACAUGAGUAGUCGUUGCUUAUAAAAUGCCAGGCCUCCCGAUAAGGCUGCAGGCCCCUUGACCCCUCCUCAGCAUCCUCCUCUUGGGGAAGUCAAGAGGGCCAGCUGGCUGUGAGGAUCCUCUAGCUGACUGUCAAGCUUCAAUCCAGAGCAGGGAGCCCCAGGAAGUACCACCAUAGAUAACAAUCCAGUCGAUUGUACCCAAACAUCUUCCCUUCUAAUCCAGGUCAUUAGGAUGUGUGCCUACCAGGACAGAAAAAGCCCCACCAGGCCCCAACACAAAGGGCCGAAUGGAAAGCUACUCUUCCACCGUUGGUUUGAGAUGUGAAGAUGUGUGGACCAGAAGAGAUGCACCAUGGUUAAAAAAAUAAAAGCUCACUUAUUCUGCCCCAGCCAGGGGGCCAGCCAACUGCUCAGAAGUCUUGCUUAUGUGACUUAAUUCAUUGCUGAUUUCCCUCCAUAAUUUCUAGAGAUUGAAAUAUAAUUACGAUAUUUUCUGAAUGAGCAGACUGAGGAGUACAUGGGUCAGAUUGUUUCCUCUGAGUUAUAAAUCAGUGAGGGACAGACAUAGAAUUCAGAGUCUGUACCUACAGCUUGCUUUCUUCCUGCCAAUUCCAUAAUGUCCUAUGUAUGCCUACCUAUGUACAUAUGUGUGCAUAUUUGCUUGUGAAUAAAUACAAAUGCCCACA